UAGCCUAGUGGUUAAGGCUAUGGAUCGCCAAUUCAGAAACGGCGGGUUCGAUUCCCGU
rnacentral:tRNA from 1 species